rnacentral:rRNA from 1 species
CCUACGGGCGGCAGCAGUCGAGAAUCAUUCACAAUGGGGGAAACCCUGAUGGUGCGACGCCGCGUGGGGGAAUGAAGGUCUUCGGAUUGUAAACCCCUGUCAUGUGGGAGCAAAUUAAAAAGAUAGUACCACAAGAGGAAGAGACGGCUAACUCUGUGCCAGCAGCCGCGGUAAUACAGAGGUCUCAAGCGUUGUUCGGCAUCACUGGGCGUAAAGCGUGCGUAGGCUGUUUCGUAAGUCGUGUGUGAAAGGCGCGGGCUCAACCCGCGGACGGCACAUGAUACUGCGAGACUAGAGUAAUGGAGGGGGAACCGGAAUUCUCGGUGUAGCAGUGAAAUGCGUAGAUAUCGAGAGGAACACUCGUGGCGAAGGCGGGUUACUGGACAUUAACUGACGCUGAGGCACGAAAGCCAGGGGAGCGAAAGGGAUUAGAUACCCCGGUAGUC